rnacentral:rRNA from 1 species
GCGAGGCCGAAAGGCGUAGUCGAUGGGAAACAGGUUAAUAUUCCUGUACUUGGUGUUACUGCGAAGGGGGGACGGAGAAGGCUAUGUUGGCCGGGCGACGGUUGUCCCGGUUUAAGCGUGUAGGCUGGUUUUCCAGGCAAAUCCGGAAAAUCAAGGCUGAGGCGUGAUGACGAGGCACUACGGUGCUGAAGCAACAAAUGCCCUGCUUCCAGGAAAAGCCUCUAAGCAUCAGGUAACAUCAAAUCGUACCCCAAACCGACACAGGUGGUCAGGUAGAGAAUACCAAGGCGCUUGAGAGAACUCGGGUGAAGGAACUAGGCAAAAUGGUGCCGUAACUUCGGGAAAAGGCACGCUGAUAUGUAGGUGAGGUCCCUCGCGGAUGGAGCUGAAAUCAGUCGAAGAUACCAGCUGGCUGCAACUGUUUAUUAAAAACACAGCACUGUGCAAACACGAAAGUGGACGUAUACGGUGUGACGCCUCCCCGGUGCCGGACGGUUAAUUGAUGGGGUUAGCGCAAGCGAAGCUCUUGAUCGAAGCCCCGGUAAACGGCGGCCGUAACAAUAACGGUCCUAAGGUAGCGAAAUUCCUUGUCGGGUAAGUUCCGACCUGCACGAAUGGCGUAAUGAUGGCCAGGCUGUCUCCACCCGAGACUCAGUGAAAUUGAACUCGCUGUGAAGAUGCAGUGUACCCGCGGCAAGACGGAAAGACCCCGUGAACCUUUACUAUAGCUUGACACUGAACAUUGAGCCUUGAUGUGUAGGAUAGGUGGGAGGCUUUGAAGUGUGGACGCCAGUCUGCAUGGAGCCGACCUUGAAAUACCACCCUCUAAUGUUUGAUGUUCUAACGUUGACCCGUAAUCCGGGUUGCGGACAGUGUCUGGUGGGUAGUUUGACUGGGGCGGUCUCCUCCUAAAGAGUAACGGAGGAGCACGAAGGUUGGCUAAUCCUGGUCGGACAUCAGGAGGUUAGUGCAAUGGCAUAAGCCAGCUUGACUGCGAGCGUGACGGCGCGAGCAGGUGCGAAAGCAGGUCAUAGUGAUCCGGUGGUUCUGAAUGGAAGGGCAUCGCUCAACGGAUAAAAGGUACUCCGGGGAUAACAGGCUGAUACCGCCCAAGAGUUCAUAUCGACGGCGGUGUUUGGCACCUUGGUGUCGGCUCAUCACAUCCUGGGGCUGAAGUAGGUCCCAAGGGUAUGGCUGUUCGCCAUUUAAAGUGGUACGCGAGCUGGGUUUAGAACGUCGUGAGACAGUUCGGUCCCUAUCUGCCGUGGGCGCUGGAGAACUGAGGGGGGCUGCUCCUAGUACGAGAGGACCGGAGUGGACGCAUCACUGGUGUUCGGGUUGUCAUGCCAAUGGCACUGCCCGGUAGCUAAAUGCGGAAGAGAUAAGUGCUGAAAGCAUCUAAGCACGAAACUUGCCCCGAGAUGAGUUCUCCCUGACUCCUUGAGAGUCCUGAAGGAACGUUGAAGACGACGACGUUGAUAGGCCGGGUGUGUAAGCGCAGCGAUGCGUUGAGCUAA